UACGUAGGGGGCAAGCGUUGUCCGGAAUCAUUGGGCGUAAAGCGCGUGUAGGCGGCCAGAAAAGUCCGCUGUGAAAACUCGAGGCUCAACUUCGAGCUGUCGGUGGAAACUUUCUGGCUAGAGUCCGGAAGAGGAGAAUGGAAUUCCUGGUGUAGCGGUGAAAUGCGCAGAUAUCAGGAAGAACACCCGUGGCGAAGGCGGUUCUCUGGAACGCAACUGACGCUGAGACGCGAAAGCGUGGGGAGCAAACAGG
rnacentral:rRNA from 1 species